UGAUGACGAGACGCUAAGGCGUUGAAGCAGUGUAUGUCAGACUUCCAAGAAAAGCUCGCAAUGUCACAAAUAAAAAUGCCUGUACCAUAACCGACACAGGUGGGUAGGUAGAGUAUACUAAGGGGCGCGAGACAACUCUCUCUAAGGAACUCGGCAAAAUGACUCCGUAACUUCGGGAGAAGGAGUGCCUUAUUUAUAAGGUUGCAAUAACAAGAUCCAAGCAACUGUUUAUCAAAAACACAGGUCUCCGCUAAGUCGUAAGACGAUGUAUGGGGGCUGACGCCUGCCCAGUGCCAGAAGGUUAAAGAAGUUGGUUAGUGUAUGCGAAGCUGAUGACUGAAGCCCUGGUGAACGGCGGCCGUAACUAUAACGGUCCUAAGGUAGCGAAAUUCCUUGUCGGGUAAGUUCCGACCCGCACGAAAGGCGUAAUGAUUUGGAUACUGUCUCGGAGAGAGGCUCGGUGAAAUAGACUUGUCUGUGAAGAUGCGGACUACCUGCACCAGGACAGAAAGACCCUAUGAAGCUUUACUGUAACUUGAAAUUGGAAUUGGACUUUGCUUGCGCAGUAUAGGUGGGAAGCGUUGAAAAUAUUCUUGCGGGAGUAUUGGAGCUAUCAGUGAGAUACCACUCUUGUAAUGUUAGAUUUCUAACUUUGAACCAUAAUCUGGUCAAAGAACAGUUUCAGGUGGGCAGUUUGACUGGGGCGGUCGCCUCCCAAAUGGUAACGGAGGCGUACAAAGGUUUCCUCUGAACGGAUAGAAAUCGUAUCUAGAGUGUAAAGGCAUAAGGAAGCUUGACUGUGAGACCUACAAGUCGAGCAGGGACGAAAGUCGGUCUUAGUGAUCUGACGGUACUGAGUGGAAAGGCCGUCACUCAACGGAUAAAAGUUACUCUAGGAUAACAGGCUGAUCUCCCCCAAGAGUUCACAUCGACGGGGAGGUUUGGCACCUCGAUGUCGGCUCAUCGCAUCCUGGGGCGGUAGUACGUCCCAAGGGUUGGGCUGUUCGCCCAUGAAAGCGGUACGCGAGCUGGGUUCAGAACGUCGUGAGACAGUUCGGUCCAUAUCCGGUGUAGGCGCUAGAAUAUUGAGAGGAGCCUUCUUUAGUACGAGAGGACCGAGAAGGACACACCGCUGGUGUACCAGUUAUCGUGCCAACGGUAAACGCUGGGUAGCUAUGUGUGGAGUGGAUAACCGCUGAAAGCAUCUAAGUGGGAAGCCCACCUCGAGAUGAGUAUUCUC
rnacentral:rRNA from 1 species